rnacentral:rRNA from 1 species
CACGUAGGGCGCAAGCGUUGUCCGGACUUAUUGGGCGUAAAGAGCUCGUAGGCGGUCUGUUACGUCCGCUGUGAAAACCCAGGGCUUAACCCUGGGCUUGCAGUGGAUACGGGUAGACUAGAGGCAGGUAGGGGAGAAUGGAAUUCCCGGUGUAGCGGUGAAAUGCGCAGAUAUCGGGAGGAACACCGGUGGCGAAGGCGGUUCUCUGGGCCUGACCUGACGCUGAGGAGCGAAAGCGUGGGGAGCGAACAGG